rnacentral:rRNA from 1 species
GGCUCCUUGUAAAAAAAUAAAUAAGGAGUCGGACCUGCCCGGUGAAUUUUUUUAACGGCCGCGGUACUCUGACCGUGCAAAGGUAGCAUAAUCAUUUGCCUUAUAAUUGAAGGCUGGUAUGAAUGGUUUGACAAGAAUAUGACUGUCUCUUUUUGAUUYYAUAGAAUUUUAUUUAAAGGUGAAGAAGCCUCUCUUAUAUUAAAAGACAAGAAGACCCUAUCGAGCUUGAAAGGAAUAAUAGAAUUAGACUAAUUAAUAAAAUUAGAAAAUUCCGCUAUUAAUGAUUUUAGUUGGGGCGACUGAGGAACAUAAAAAGCUUCCUUUAAAACUUAASUAUUUACAAGUAUUGAUCCAAGAUUUUNNNNNUAAAGAAAUUAGUUACCGUAGGGAUAACAGCAUUAUCUUUUUUAAGAGCUCUUAUCGAAAAAAAGGUUUGUGACCUCGAUGUUGGACCAGAAUAUCCUAAAGAUGCAGCAGUCUUUAAGGGUUGGUCUGUUCGACCAUUAAAAUUCUACG